CGCCAUUUGGCCAGGCUGUUCUCGAACUCAUGGUCUCAAGUGAUCUGCCCACCGUGGCCUCCCAAAGUGCUGGGAUUACAGGCAUGAGCCGCUGCGCCUGGCCUGUUUUUAUGUUAAGAUGAUUCUACUAGCUUAUACCAUCUGUAAGGCAUAGGUAUUAAAUUGUUGGCCGGUAGAAGUGAUAAAUCUGCACUUAAUCACUUGGAGAAAAAACACUUUUUACUGCAAAUAUUCUUUAUUUUAAAUAUUUGACUUAUAUAAACCUAAACUUACAUAUUUGAUAAAGCUUAUAUAUUUGAUAAAUUCUUUUCUUUUUUUUUUUUUUAAUAAUCAAGGAUACUUAUUUAAAGUUUAGUCUGGUACAUUAUUUUUUAGAUGGAGACCUCUACUGGAAGUAUGAAGUAAUAGAUUCUAUUUUUUAUUUUUUCCUUUGGAGAGAGGAUCUUACUCUGCCUCCCAGGCUGGAGAAUGAAGAGUAGUGGUGCAAUGAUGGUUCACUGCAGCCUCAACCUUCUUGGCUCAAGUGAUUAUUCUACCUCAGCCUCCCUAGUAGCUAGGAUUACAGGUGUGUGCCACCAUCCCUGGUUAAUGUUUAAAGUUUUUGUAGAGACCAGAGCUGUCUGUGUUGCCUAGGAUGGUCUCAAACUCCUGGCCUCCAAGUGAUCCUCCUGGCUUGGCCUCCCAAAGUGUUGGGAUUGCAGACAUGAGCCACCCACUCAGCCUGAUUCUAUUACUGUAAAAUAUCUAGACAAAGGGAUGGUAGAGAGAUAUGUUUUCAAAACAGUCAAUGUAACAUAUGCUAAAGUUUUUUUUAAAGUAUGUUUCUUAUGAAACUUUAAUAAUAUACUUUUGGUUUAUGACACCACAUUAAAUCUUUUAAAAAGCAGACUAUUAAGUUCAUAUUUUUUAAGCUAACAUUUAUUUGCCAUGUGCCAGGCACAGCACUGAGUGGUAACUUAUUUCUUCUUCACACCUCCCUAUGACAUAGAUACUGUUGUUAUCCUGAAAUUAUAGAGGAGAAAACAGGACAAAGGCAUUUAAGAACCUUGCCCAGGGUCACACAGUAAAUUCAGGACCUAGUAUUUAAACCUGGGCCAUCUGAUUAAUGGAAUCUGAUUCUGGAACCUAGGCAUGUUAUACUGUCUUUCCCCAAUUCACAUGAAUAUAAUUUUAUUAAAAAGUAUUUGAAAAUAAGUCUUGAAGGGAACAAACAAAAUAUGAAAAUGGUUAGGGUAGUUGUGGGAUUGUGGCUUUUUAUUUUUAUUUUAAAAAUUCUUUCAUGUAUCUUUUUACAAUAAAAUGUGUUGCUGUAUAGUUUAUAGUUUAGUUUUACAAAUAUUCGUCUUAGUGGAUUUUUGCAACAACUCUACCAAAUAGGUAUUAACCUCUUUUGUAGAUCAGGAAAAAAGCCUGUAAGUACCAUUGCUAGUACAGAAUUAGAGUUUAGUUUUGUGAAUUACAAUGUACUGCUCCUAUUUUACUAUCAGAGUCUUGGGGUCAGGGACUUUUUUUUAAAACAGUGAUGUACUUUUUAGCAUUUGAUACAUUGCAGCUGAAUUCAGUUAGGAUCUGCUGCCACUUGGGGACCUUCUUAUGAACUCAGGUGGAUAUGGUAAGCCUCUCAGCAAAUGGGAAAUCUAAUUUGGGAAAUUCUGACAGAAUUGAAAAUUUCUAACCUACAGAAUUAAUAGUAUAGCAUUUCAUUGGUCUGGCCCUAAAGCUUAACAUUUUUUUGUGUGUGGUUUUAUUAAACAAGCAGAGUCAGUAAUAGUUGUGGAAUAUUUAUUAACAUUGUGGUAAAUAUGUCAUUUUGUGCAAUUUUAUGCAGUAUUUAAACUCUUUUUGAAGUAAAAUAGACACGAAUGUCUCCCUAUCUGUCUUUACAAGCUACAGUCUUGUAAAGAAUCUUGUGUAGGGUGAGAUUUGACAGAGUAAUACAGACAUACCUGAGAGAUACUUCAGGUUUGAUUCCAGACCACUCCCACCCACAUUAAAAUGAAUAUUGUAGUAAAAUGAGGAUGAAGUUUUUUGUUUCCCAGUGCAUAUAGAAAUUAUGUUUACAUUAUAUUAGUGUUCAAUAGCAUUAUUUCUCAAAUAACAAUGUACAGCCAGGUGUGGCGGCUCAAUGGCCUAUAAGCCCAGCACUUUGAGAGGCUGAGGCAGGAGGAUUGCUUGAGCCCAGGAGUUUGAGACAGCCUAGGCAGUCUCAAAUUGUCUAGUGUGUUUGAGACAUAGUGAGACCCUGUCUCUACAAAAAAAAAUUUUUAAGUAGCUGGUUAUGGUGGUGCAUGCCUGUGGUCCCAGAUACUUGGGAGGCUGAGGUGGGAGGAUUGCUUGAACCUAGGAGGUUGAGGCUGCAGUGAGUCAUGAUUGUGCCACUGCAACCCCAUCUAGCCUGGGCAGUAGAGUGAUACCUUGUCUCAAAGAAAAAGAAAAACCUUAUUGCCAAAAAGUGCUAACAGUCAUCUGAGUUUUCAGUGAGUCAUAAUCUUUUUGCCGGUGAAAGGUCUUGCCUUGAUAUUGAUGGCUGCUGACUGAUCAGGUUGGUGCGUACUAAAGAUUGGGGUAGAUGCAGAAAUUUCUUAAAAUAACAAUGAAGUUUGCUGCAUCGAUCAACUCUUUCUUGCACAAGACGUUUCUCCAUAGCAUAUAAUGCUGUUUGGUAGCAUAUUAUCCACAGUAGAACAUAACUGGAGACAGUCAUCACAAACCCUGACACUGCUUUGUCAACUAAAUUUAUAUACUGUUCUAAAUCUUUUGUUGUCAUUUCAGCAGUGUUCACAGCAUCUUCAUCAAGAAUGCAUUUCAUCUCAAUAAACCACUUUCGUUGCUCUUCCCUGAGAAGGAACUCCUCAUUCAUUCAGGUUUUAUCAUGAGAUUGCAGCAGUUCAGUCACAUCUUCAGGCUCCACUUCGAAUUCUAGUUCUUUUGCCAUUUGCACAUCUGCAAUGACCUACUCCACUGUAAUCUUGAACCCCUCUAAGUUAUCGAUGAGGGUUGGAAUCAACUUCUUCAAAACUGUUGAUGUUCACAUUUUAACCUGCUAUGAAUCACAGAUGUUCUUAAUGGCAUCUAGAACGGUGAAUCCUUUUCCGAAGAUUUUCAGUUUACUUUGCUCAGUUCUAUCCAAGAAAUCACUAUCUAUGGCUGCUAUAACUGUAUAAAAUGUAUUUCUUAAAUAAUAGGCUAAGAAGUCAAAAUGACUGCUUGUUCCAUGGGCUGUGUUAGCUGCAUGAAAACAACAUUCAUCUCCUUGUACAUUUCCAUCAGAGAUCUUGGGUGGCCAAAUGUAUUGUCAGUGAGCAGUAAUAUUUUGAAAGUGAUCUUUUUUCUGAGCAGUUGGUCUCAACCCUGAGCUUAAAACAUUCAGUAAACCCUGCUGUAAACAGAUGUACUGUCAUCCAGCUUUGUUGUUUCAUUUACAGAGUACAGACAGAGUAGAUUUAGCAUAAUUCUUAAGGACCCUUGGAUUUUCAGAGUGGUCAUUGAGCAUUGGCUUUGACUUAAAGUCACUAGCUUCAUUAGCCCCUAACAAAAGAGUCAGCUUUUCCCUUGAAAUGUUGAAGCCAGGCAUUGACUUUUCCUUUCUAGCUAUGAAAUUUCUAGAUGGCAUCUUCUUCCAAUAGAAGGCUUUUUCAUCUAUAUUGAAAAUCUGUUGUUUAGUGUAGCCACGUCUGUCAUUUACCUUAGCUAGAUAUUCUGGAUAUCUUACUGUAGAUUCUGUAACACCACUUGCUGCUUCACUUUGCACUUUUAUGUUAUGAAGACAGUGUCUUUUCAUAAACUUCACAAACUAGCCUCUGCUAGCUUCAGACUUUCCUUCUGCAGCUUCCUCACCUCUCUCAGUCUUUGUUGAAGAGUUAUGAUCUUGCUCUGGAUUAGGCUUUGGCUUAAAGGAAUGUCAUAGCUGGUUUGAUCUUCUGUCUAGACCACUCACAUUUUCUCCUUACCAACAAUAAGGGAACAUACAUUUGUGUAUUCCCUGGAGUAGCACUUUUAUUUUCCUUCAAAACUUUCUUUUUACAUUCACAGCAUGGUUAAAUGUUUAGUGCAAGAGGUCUGGCUUUUAGCCUAUCGUGGAUCUUGAAGUACCUUCCUCAUUAAGCGUAAUCAUUUAUAGCCUUUGAUGUAAAGUGAGAGAUAUGCAACUCUUCCUUUCACUUGAACACUUAGAGGCUGUUGCGGCCUAAUUUCAAUGUUGUUGUGUCUCAGGGUACAGGAAGUCCCAAGGAGAAGGGAGGGAGAUGGGAGAAUGGCCAGUCAGUGGAGUAGUCAGAAUACACACAAUAUUUAUUGAUUAAGUUUGCUCUCUUAUAUGGGUACAGUUCGGGGUGCCCCCAAACAAAUAGAAUAGUAGCAUCAAAGAUUACUGAUCACACAUCAACAUAAUAGAUAUAAUAAUAAUAAUGAAAAAGUUUGAAAUAUUGGGAGAAUCACCAAAAUGCGACACAGAGCUAUGAAGUGAGCACUUGGUAUUAAAAAGUGAUGCUGAUAUUCUUGCUUCAAUUUGUUAAACCUUCAACUUGUUUUAAAAAAGACAAUAUCUAGAAAGCGCAAUAAAAUGAAGUACAAUAAAAUGAGUUAUGCCUGUAUUGACUUUGUUUUAAACUGAUAUGUGAAGAUCCAAUGAUUUUGCAAAGUAACUACUGUUUUUGAGAAAAUGGAUACAAUUAAUACAAAUGAUGUGAUUAUUUGGUUGGAGGCAUUUUGGAGUUGGGAAUGUUUAUUAUCAUUAUAAUAGAUAACAUUUAUUGAACAUUUAUUAUUUGCCAGAUACUGUGCUCGACCUGCUUUAUUUUAAUUCCCCAAAUUACCCGGUAAGAUUGAUACCAUCAUCAUCAUUUUAUAAUGAGGAAACUAAGAUUUAGAAGGGUAAACUAAUUUAGAAAGUUUAAGUAAUUUGUGACCCAAGUACAAAGUAGUGGGGCUGGAAUUUGACCCAGGUCUUCUGCAUCCAGAGAUCAAACUUUUACCAGCUCUGUAGAAUAUUGCUCUUUAUUCAUUAAUUUAAUGAAUAAUAAUGGAAUAUCUAUCUUGUGCUAGACUCUAUGCACUGGACAUAUGUCAAUGAUGAGAAGAAAGGAAAAUAUUUCCCCUUUAGAGUGAGGGAAAGGAGACAAAUAAGUAAGUAUAUUAACUAAUAGCCCAAGGAGAAAAAUAAAGCAAAUAAAGGGAGAUAGCUUUCACUUGAGUAGGGUGUUACAUCUUUAGACAAAUUGGACUGGAAAAGUCGUAGCAAGAGUUGAAUAAAGACUCGAAGAGAAAUGAGCAACCAGGUGGAUAUUUGGGAUAAGAAUGAACAAACAGCAAGAGAUAUGCUUGGUUUGUUCAAGGAGCAUUUAGGAGCCCAUUAUGGCUAGAAUUAGUGAGCAGAGGAAAGCAGUUAAGAGAUGAAUAGAUCAGAGAGGUAUGAUCUGGGAUCAGUUCUUGUAGGACCUUUGGAAGGUCUUUACAUCUACUGGAGCCAUUGGAGGAUUUUGAGCAAUGAAAUGUUAUCUCGAUUUCUUCGGAUGCUUUGUUGUAUAUAAAUGUUGAAUGCUUAAGGGUAGAAGUAAAGAGACUUGAUAGAAAGCUAAGAAAAUACAGUCAGGAGUUGCUUUAUGACUGGGAUACAUUCUAAGAAAUGGGUUGUAAGGUGAUUUCCUUGUUAUUGGAACAACAUGGAGUGUACUUACACAAACCUAGUUGGUAGAGCCUACUAUACACCUAAGCUGUAUGGUAUGGCCUGUUGCUUUAGGGUACAAACCUGUGCAGUAUGCUACAUACUACUGCAGGAAGUUGUAACCCCAUGGUAAGUAUUUAUGUAUCUAAACAUAACUAAACAUAUAAAAGGUACAGUAAAAAUAUCAUAAUCUUAAGGGAGCACCAUUGUAUAUAUGGUCAUUGAUCUAAAUGUCAUUUUCUAGUACAUGACUGUAAUCCAGUUGAUAGCUUGUAUGAGCAAGGUUCAUAACUCUUGAGGUAGUAAAAAGUAGUCAUAUUUUAGAUAUAUUUUUAAAGUUUUAAAUAUAAAGCUUUGAGGACUUUAAUUAGCAGAGACCUCAAAUUUAACCCAUUAGGUGCCAAGUUUUAUACUUUUUAAAUUUUAAACUUAAUAUUCCUCUGUUACCCAAGUCUGUAAUAUGUGUUAAUAGUACAUGGUUUAGAAGAUCCAUGAAAGGGAAAAUAUCAAGCAGUGUAAUAUCUUAGUAUAUACAGGUAAAAGUAUUUAACACUACGAACAAACAUCUUGGCAUAUUUUUCCCUAGUCUUUUGGCAUAGGAUUGAAUCUUAGUAAACGCUGUCUACCAUAAGCUAGCUCUCUAUUUCCUGUACUAAAAUGUUAGCUCCUUGAAAACAGGAACUGUGUUCUUUAUUUCUCUGUCUUAGGUACUGAGCACAGUGUCUGGUUCAUGAGUGUUAAUGCUGCUUUAUUUUAGUCCCCCAAACUACCCUAUAAGAUUGUUAACCAUCAUCAUAAUUUUAUAAUGAGGAAACAAGGAUUUAGAAAGGUUAAGUAAUUUAGAAAGUUUAAGCAAUUU